GAUACUCCAUAGAAGCUCCAUGGUGAUAAGCGUAUUUUGUACCACUUUUGGCCACACCUCCUGGGAGACAUUUGAACCGAAUCCUAAGCCCCCAUUUGCAUAUUGCUAAUGAAUCAUUUAUUUUUUCUUUGCGUAUUCGCAAGAUACUGUGAUUUGAUUGGACAUUACCUCAUGAAUAAUGUAUUUUUCUAUUGAAAUUCGUACGUCAUAAUUUGACCCCUAUCGUCACUUCGGCUUAAUCAAGGGCUGAAAGGUGACGUCACCCGCACAGAAGAAGGUUAUUUCCUUGAAAGAUUUUCGACAUAGAACAUGAUGCUGCUUCACAUCCUCUUUUAAAGACUCAAGAAUUACAAGACCAAAUUAAGCUGCAGGACCCUCCUGAUUCAAAAAGACAUGGAACAUGACUCUGCUUCACAUCCUUUGUUUUAGAGACUCAAGAAAUACAAGACCAAAUUAAGGGUUUGUUUUUUUAAUUCCAAUAACAAUUUUCUGGUGGAAGAAUUAGGGAAUAAUGCAUUGACAAUAUGCCAAACAUCCUAUAUCAAACUGAAUUACUGCAUGUAUUUACAAUAGAGUAUUGUAACCGCUUCCCCCUCACCACUGACCAAACAAAACCCACAAACAAUUUUAGAGGGAUAGGGUUAU